rnacentral:rRNA from 1 species
UACAGAGGUCUCAAGCGUUGUUCGGAUUCAUUGGGCGUAAAGGGUGCGUAGGCGGCGCGGUAAGUCGGGUGCGAAAUCUCGGAGCUUAACUCCGAAACUGCAUUCGAUACUGCCGUGCUUGAGGACUGGAGAGGAGACUGGAAUUUACGGUGUAGCGGUGAAAUGCGUAGAUAUCGUAAGGAAGACCAGUGGCGAAGGCGGGUCUCUGGCCCGGUACUGACGCUGAGGUGCGAAAGCGUGGGGAGCAAACAGG